UAAGCGGAUGAGAAGAAACUUACGAGGAUUCCCUUAGUAGCGGCGAGCGAACCGGGAUCAGCCCAGCUUGAGAAUCGGGCAGGCCUUGCCUCUCGAAUUGUAGUCUGGAAGAAGCGCCGUCAGCGACGGACCGGUCCCAAGUCCCUUGGAAUGGGGCGUCUGGGAGGGUGAGAGCCCCGUUCGGCUCGGACCCUGCCGCACCACGAGGCACUGUUGGCGAGUCGGGCUGUUUGGGAAUUCAGCCCCAAUCGGGCGGUAAGUUGCGUCCAAGGCUAAAUACGGGCGAGAGACCGAUAGUGAACAAGUACCGCGAGGGAAAGAUGAAAAGGACUUUGAAAAGAGGGUCAAAGAGUGCUUGAAAUUGCCGGGAGGGAAGCGGAUGGGGGCCGGCGAUGCACCCCGGCCGGAUGCAGAACGGCGAUGGGCCUGUCCCCGCUCGGCUCGGGGUGCAGACCGUUGUGGCUGUGCCGGCGGCCUACGCCCGGAUGGUGGAACCCCGCCUACGGAUUUAGCUGCCGGCACGGCCGGGGAUGUGAGCACGCUCUUUCCCAGCGUGCCCCUCAGGGCACGGUCUCGCCUCGGGCAGCGGCCCGUGGGCUCCCCAUCCGACCCGUCUUGAAACACGGACCAAGGAGUCUGAUAUGCGUGCGAGUCGAUGGGUGUGCGAAACCCAGAAGGCGCAAGGAAAGUGAUGGGCGCGAGCCUCAACCCCCCUCCCCUUUAGCGGUGGGCGCACCGUCGGCCGACCCAGAUCUUCUGUGAAGGGUUCGAGUUGGAGCAUGCCUGUCGGGACCCGAAAGAUGGUGAACUAUGCCCGAGCGAGGCGAAGCCAGAGGAAACUCUGGUGGAGGCCCGAAGCGAUACUGACGUGCAAAUCGUUCGUCUGACUUGGGUAUAGGGGCGAAAGACUAAUCGAACCAUCUAGUAGCUGGUUCCCUCCGAAGUUUCCCUCAGGAUAGCUGGAGCCCAAGGAAGAGUUCUAUCGGGUAAAGCCAAUGAUUAGAGGCAUCGGGGGCGCGACGCCCUCGACCUAUUCUCAAACUUUAAAUAGGUAGGACGGUGUGGCUGCUCUGUUGAGCUGUGCCCCGGAAUGGAGAGCUCCAAGUGGGCCAUUUUUGGUAAGCAGAACUGGCGAUGCGGGAUGAACCGGAAGCUGGGUUGCGGUGCCCAGCCGCGCGCUAACCUAGAUCCCACAGAGGGUGUUG
rnacentral:rRNA from 1 species